rnacentral:rRNA from 1 species
AUUGAACGCUGGCGGCAGGCCUAACACAUGCAACUCGAGCGAGCGGCGCGCGGGUGAGUAAUGUAUGGGGACUGCCCGUGAGGGGGGGAUGACUACUGGAAACGGUAGCUAAUACCGCAUACUAUCGGAUAACCCAUAUGGGAUUAGCUCGUAUGUGAGGUAAUGGAUCACCUCGGCGACGAUCCCUAUCUGGUCUGAGAGGAUGAUCAGCCACACUGGGACUGAGACACGGCCCAGACGCCUACGGAGGCAGCAGUGGGGAAUAGUGCACAAUGGGCGAAAGCCUGAUGCAGCCAUGCCGCGUGUAUGAAGAAGGCCUGAGGGUUGUAAAGUACUUUCAGUCGGGAGGCGUUACCGACAGAAGAAGCACCGGCUAACUCCGUGCCAGCAGCCGCGGUAAUUC